UACGUAGGGGGCAAGCGUUGUCCGGAUUUAUUGGGCGUAAAGAGCGUGUAGGCGGCCAAGCAGGUCAGCUGUGAAAACUCGAGGCUCAACCUCGAGACGUCGGUUGAAACCAUCUGGCUAGAGUCCGGAAGAGGAGAGUGGAAUUCCCGGUGUAGCGGUGAAAUGCGCAGAUAUCGGGAAGAACACCCGUGGCGAAGGCGGCUCUCUGGGACGGUACUGACGCUGAGACGCGAAAGCGUGGGGAGCGAACAGG
rnacentral:rRNA from 1 species